rnacentral:rRNA from 1 species
UACGUAGGGGGCAGGCGUUGUCCGGAUUUACUGGGCGUAAAGCGCUCGCAGGUGGUUCGUCGCGUCGUGCGUGAAAGACCCCGGCUCAACUGGGGAGUGUCGUGCGAUACGGGCGGACUGGAGGCCAGUAGGGGGAUGCGGAAUUCCGGGUGUAGUGGUGGAAUGCGUAGAGAUCCGGAGGAACACCAGCGGCGAAGGCGGCAUCCUGGACUGGUCCUGACACUCAGGAGCGAAAGCGUGGGGAGCGAUCCGG